AGAGUGUGUGAGUACUGUACAGCCGUGACGAUCGCUCGAUUCGACCAGACAAGCCACCCCGCGCCAGCCUCUUCGUGAAGCCUUUCACAGAUAUAGCCAAAGAUGCGGACAGAAGCUGUGGUGGUGCUCGUGCUCUUACUCAGCGCUACAUGUGUCCAGGUGUCCCACGGCACGGAGUCGUGUGUUAAAGUCUGUUUACGGGAUUUUCUCAAAUGCGCCCGAUCUUUUCGAAAAGACUGCUGCGCCGAUUACAUACCUUGUAUGAGGGACGUUUGUCAAGAGACGAAAUACCCAUGCAAACAAGCAUUCCCACCCGGAAAAAGAUACUGGCGAAAUUCAUGGCUGGAUAGAUUUUCCCAGUAUUCUCGAUGAAGUCACCAGUGAAAUCGGACUUAAAAACGAAAAAAACAAAACAAAACAUUUUCUCUCUUUUCCUUUUUUUUUUAUUGGGAAGGGGUGUACAUUUUACCAUGAUAAUAUUGUUUCCAUUGCUGUCCAACAGUAAUAUCUGUCUGUUUUUCUGGGGUAGAAUAAUUGGUCCAGUCAACGAUUGAGCGCAUUGUUUUGUUAUUUUUAAGAGUCGAUUCUGUUGUAUAACACUAUACUAAAUUUCCCAAUGUCGGAUUUCACCAAUAGUAUCAUUGUCCAGAAAACUCUGGUCAAAAUGGUCGUGUAGUAGAGGUUUUUGUAAGCGUUCACUGUAGUUAUGCGUCUUCUAAUAAGUCGUUAAGGUGAUCUGUCUUUUAUGAGAAUGUGGGCUUAAUGUCGUGACAGCUGCUGUAAAAAAUAACUGGCUGUACAGUAUAAAGUUCUUUGCUUAAGGUCAAAAUCACAAGAUAAUCCCCAAGACCAAACACUAAUACCAUCAUGCUUUUCUAUACUUUGAUAUAUUUCUCCUGGGCCAGCUUUUUCCGUACUGUGGUACAUUCCCUUUAAAUCUACAUGGAAAAACAAGAGCAGAUUUUAUAUUUUGUGGUAUAUCCCAUCUGGAUUAGCAUGGCAAAACAAAGCCACACUCUUCUAUACUGUGGUAUAUUCCUUCCGGGUCAGCAUGGCAAAACAAGGCCACACUCUUCUAUACUGUGGUAUAUUACUUCUGGGUCAGCAUGGAAAAACAAGUCCAGGCUUUUCUAUAUUGUGGUAUAUUUCUUCUGGGUCAGCAUGGAAAAACAAGGCAAGGCUUUUCUAUACUGUGAUAUAUUCCUUCUGGGUCAGCAUAGAAAAACAAGGCCGGGCUUUUCCAUAUUGUGGUAUAUUCCUUCUGUGUCAGCAUAUAAAAAUAAGGCGGGGCUUUUCCACAUUGUGGUAUAUUUCUUCUGGGUCAGCAUGGAAAAAACAAGGCCAGGCUUUUCUAUAUUGUGAUGUGUUCCUUUUGAGUCAUCAUGGAAAAACAAGGCCAUGAUUUACUAUAUGUUGGCACAUAUAUAUUCCCUUUGAGUUAACGUGGAAAAACAACACCAUAUACGGUAACAAUAUUGCAAAUACGUCGCAUUCAUAACAUUCUACAUUUCACCCAUCUUUUGCCGAAAUGUUUAUUUUCCUUGUAAUGAAUAUAUGUGAAAACAUGUAAAAGCGGCAUACAUGAAACUGCUAUUUUGUUCUGCUUUUCUGUCGAAUGAACCAAAUUUGUGUAUUACUGAAAGUGGACAGCUAAA